rnacentral:rRNA from 1 species
GACGAACGCUGGCGGCGUGCUUAACACAUGCAAGUCGAACGGAAAGGCCCUGCUUUUGUGGGGUGCUCGAGUGGCGAAAGGGUGAGUAUCACGUGAGUAACCUGCCCUUUACUUUGGGGUAACUUCAGGAAACUGGGGCUAAUACCGGGUAUGAGCUCCUUCUGCAUGGUGGGUGAUGUAAAGUUUCGGCGGUUCGGGAUUGACGCGCGGCUUAUCAGCUUGUUGGUGGGGUAGUGGCUUACCAAGGCGUUGACGGGUAGCCGGACUGAGAGGGUGACCGGGCACAUAGGGAUUGGGAAAGGGCCAAGAGGGAUACGGGAGGAAGCAGUGAGGAAUAGAGCAAGAAGGGCGGAGGGAGGAAGCAAGAACGCCGCGUGCGAGAUGACGGCCUUUGGGUUGGAAACCGGGUGAGAGUGUGAAGAAGAGUAAGUGACGGUAACGGGUAAAGAAGCAACGGCUAACUACGUG